rnacentral:rRNA from 1 species
UAGUGUGGGUAAGCAGACUGCCGAGAAAAUCCGCUAAACAUAACGUUGUAGGUACCCGUACCGCAAACGGACACACGUAGUCGGGUUGAAUAUACUAAGGCGCUUGGGUGAGUCACGGUUAAGGAACUAGGCAAAUUGACCCUGUAACUUCGGAAUAAAGGGUCCCUCCUCGCAAGAGAGGGCGCAGAGAAUAGGUCCAGGCAACUGUUUAACAAAAACACAGGGCUGUGC